GGGGAUAUAGCACAGUGGUAGUGCCCUUAUCUAGCAUGUGGGAGGCCCUGGUUUCAAUCCCCAGUACCCUCC
rnacentral:tRNA from 2 species